UGCGGGAUGGACUGGAGAGGCACCAGCUCAGUCUCAUAAGCUGAAUCACGAGGGUUCGACUCCCUCUCCCGCUACUAA
rnacentral:tRNA from 1 species